rnacentral:lncRNA from 1 species
GACGUGUACCGUCAGGAAGAGGCUUUAAUGACAACGUUUACAAAAGAAGUAUCUGUAAAUCCAGCGAGGGAUUCAACACAGCCGUGUAACUAAAGACGAGGAAACACGAGGGUUCAGAGCAUCGUUUUGUGUUUAUUUUUAUGAAAAACAAGAGGAAAAGCUCGGGCUUCCAAAGAUGUCUAAAAAAUUGAUUUAUGGAUUUGAUCUGAAACAAGAUGGCCAAGUGCCCUGCUUCAUAGAUCGCCUCCUCCAAGCGGCUGCGGUUCCAGCCAAGGGUGGCUUCGCCCGGCCAAGCCAGCUGCCCCCAAGCCACCCCGGCGCUCGGGGCCGGCCAGAAAUAAAUAUUUU